UUGUGGAGUCACAGAGGGUGAUGGGGGCAGGUGGGGCUGGGUUCUGCCUGAAGUCCACAACCACCAAAGUGUCAAAAAAACAUUUGAAUUUCUCGACUGUAAUCCACAUCCAAUUGUCAAAAAGCUUCAUCCAUCCAGCCAGCCUGAACUUUAAAGAAAUAUCUGCCCACAUUUAAAUUGAACCUUUGUAUUUAUGCUUUACAGCUUGACUUAAAAGGAUUAAGAGCACUUGAAACUUGAGUUUGGAAAGAUAUGGCAGUUUAAUAUGAUAAAAGUGAAGGAACUUGGGAUGUCAUUCAAAGUAAUAGUAGUCUUACAAUACAAGCUUCUUUUUGCAGCAUAGAAGCAUAGUGUCAGGCCACAGAGCUGAGUGCAGGUUUGUUGUGUUGUUUGGUACAGUGUUUCUUUCUCUCUACUACGGUGCGACAGGCAGGUGCAGCUGCACAGCGGUGUCCCAUCAGAGCAAUCACCUGAGGAGCAAUCACCUGAGGAGCUUCAAAAACUGCUGAGACCUUAGAGGAGGCAUUAGAUUUUUUUACUCUGCCGAGUGGUUGCUGCCACCUGAACCCUUCCCUGGAUUUACAUCCGAGGAUCUGCCUCAUUCUCUGUAAGCAGCCAGCAAACCCUUGUCCCGGAUAACCCGCCGUGGUUCAGUCUCCUACCAAACCGCUAAAUACUUAGCAUUGUGCUGCACAAGAAUCAUCCGGUUCCGGUUCAAUAUGACACAUAGAGGUAGAUUUAAAACAGAAAAUAAUGUCAAUUAGUUUUAUUUUGUUUUGUUAAAACUCAAAUGAUGUCUAUCUUUUAUAUUAUGUACUAAUUUGAUAUAGUACAAGAUUUUGCUAUAUUGUGACCUGUCUGUUUUCACAUUAUUUUGACUUUUAUCUUACUGUCUGUACACUGAAGUUUGAUUACAUGUUUUAUCUUUUCCAUUUUUUGCCAAUGAGAAAAAGCCUAAAAUUUCCAUUUUCAGGAAAUCAGUAUUUCAGGCCAGCUUAACCAAUGAGGUUUGUGGUCCAGUGAUAUAAUGGAUAAGGUAUCAGCCUUUGCAGUUGAGGAUUGGGGGUUCAUUGUGGGUAUAAAUCUCACCUGGGGUGCCUCAUGCAUUUUGGAAUUGGGAAAUCUUAUGAUACUGUGCUCUAACCAACUCGUGGUCCUUAAUUCUGCAGAUUGUCCAUGUAAUUGUGGUGCUGUCUGUAUUUCUGAAGAUGUAAAUGGAUGAAGAUGGCUGUACGCUGUUGGAAAAGAGAUUUGCUGGAAACCAGGAUGUCUUAUAUAGACAGAGAAGAGGGACCACCACCAGUGAACAACUGUGCAUACAGUACAGGGCACAGUCCGUCCUUACCAAGUCCAGUUCUUCUUAUUACCUGGCAUUCAGCUUCUUGCCUUAAGGCCAAGACGCAAUUUUCCAAACUAAGUAACUUUAACAUGUCCCUAUAUAGUAAAGUUCCAGGCUGGUCAGGCAAGUUUCCACACACCCUGAGCCAACAAUUUCAUGUCAGGAUCAAUGGAACAAGUAAAUACAAACACAACAAAGCUUUUGUUGUGUGUUUUAAAAGAAGAAUGAGAAAAUAAUUAUUACUAUAUUGGUCUCAGAAGAGGUGGAAAUGUUAGACGUUGACUACUGACAACAAACUAGACUGGAAAUUUACUCUAUCACCCAAUUACACUAUUGUGUAUCCUUAGUUAAACAACGCUUUGGUAUCAUCAUCCUACACAUUAGACACUGUAGCAUACACAGUUUGAACACCAGCUAAGCCGGUCCAGUGGCUGGGUGACAGCACUGAUAAAGAUUAAUUGACUCCAUCUGACACAGUCUUUCCUAUAUACUGACUGGUUAAUAAGCUAAUGAUUGGCCAUCCCCUGAGUGAGUCAAAUGUUACAGAAAAUGUAGUCUAACAUUUUUUUAAAUAAAAGAUUGUUAAUACUGACAUUUAAUUGUUGUACGCAGUUGAUAUAAUAAAGAUAUAUUAAUUUAA